UACGGAGGGGGCGAGCGUUAUUCGGAAUCAUUGGGCGUAAAGAGCGCGUAGGCGGCUCGUUAAGUGAGAAGUGAAAGCUGUGGGCUCAACCCACAAACCGCUUUUCAUACUGGCGAGCUGGAGUGAUGCAGAGGUGGAUAGAAUUCCCGGUGUAGCGGUGAAAUGCGUUGAUAUCGGGAGGAAUACCCGUGGCGAAGGCGGUCCACUGGGCAUCAACUGACGCUGAGGCGCGAAAGCGUGGGUAGCAAACAGG
rnacentral:rRNA from 1 species